CAUGCCCCGCGGCCCCCCGCCACUCUGCGCUUCCCAGCGCGCCCCGCGCGGAGCAAUGACUACAGCUCCCGGCAGGAGGUGCGCGCAGUCGGGUGGGUCAUGUGGCGUUGCAACUGUGCCUUCGCGGGGUUCGCGCUCCGCUUUGCCCGGUACGUGGGCACGGUGCUUGGCUGCGCCCUGCGGGGUGAGUCCUGAGCCGCCUCUAAAGAGCUGUUAGCGCUGGGGAUGAGCUGCGUGGCGGUGUUAAACCGCGGUAAUUCCUCACCGGGAUAACCGCUCACAGCAUCCUGCACCGGCGAGGUUGUUCGAUGCCUCAGAGACAGAAGGUUUCUGCCGUCUUUUGCAUAGCGAGAGCUUCCUGUGGCCGUGCUCUGAAUUGCAGGCGCUGCUCACUGCUGUGUGCGUGCCGUAUGGAGCCAUCAUCACUUGACCACGUACAGGCACAACCCCGACAGAAAACCAGGAGCUGAUGUUUCUUUGAGCACCUCUACCAUCCUCAUGUUAUUGUAGCCAUUUAGAUCACCAUGAAAAUACUCCUCAGCAUUGUUUGUUUGAAUUUCUGUUGGCCUCAACAGGUGACAGCUGGUCUCCCGUUUGGAUAAUAAAUGCAGCGAAUGGA